CGUGUAGGCGGCUUGGUAAGUCAGAUGUGAAAGCCCUGGGCUUAACCCAGGAAGUGCAUUUGAAACUGUCAGGCUUGAGUAGGGAAGAGGAAGGUGGAAUUCCUGGUGUAGAGGUGAAAUUCGUAGAUAUCAGGAGGAACACCGGUGGCGAAGGCGACCUUCUGGUCCUAUACUGACGCUGAGACGCGAAAGCAUGGGUAGCAAACA
rnacentral:rRNA from 1 species